rnacentral:rRNA from 1 species
UACAGGGGGUGCAAACGUUGCUCGGAAUUAUUGGGCGUAAAGGGCGCGUAGGCGGCCUUGCAAGUGACGGGUGAAAUCCCUCGGCUUAACCGAGGAACUGCCUGUCAAACUGCGUGGCUUGAGACCAGGAGAGGUGAGUGGAAUUCCCAGUGUAGCGGUGAAAUGCGUAGAUAUUGGGAGGAACACCAGUGGCGAAGGCGGCUCACUGGACUGGUACUGACGCUGAUGCGCGAAAGCGUGGGGAGCAAACAGG